UACGGAAGGGGGCUAGCGUUGUUCGGAAUUACUGGGCGUAAAGCGCGCGCAGGCGGCCUUUCAAGUCAGGGGUGAAAGCCCCGGAAGCUCAACUCCCGGAAUUGCCUUUGAAAACUGUCAGGCUCGAGUACGGGAGAGGUGAGUGGAAUUCCCAGUGUAGAGGUGAAAAUUCGUAGAUAUUGGGAAGAACACCGGUGGCGAAGGCGGCUCACUGGCCCGUUUUCGUGACGCUCAGGCGGCGACAGCGUGGGGGAUCAAACAGG
rnacentral:rRNA from 1 species